UACGGAGGUUGCGAGCGUUGUUCGGAAUAACUGGGCGUAAAGGGAGCGCAGGCGGUUUGGUAAGUCUAAAGUGAAAGCCCGGGGCUUAACCUCGGAAGUGCUUUGGAUACUGUCAGACUCGAGUUCGUAAGAGGAAAGCGGAAUUCCAGGUGUAGCGGUGAAAUGCGUAGAUAUCUGGAGGAACACCGGUGGCGAAAGCGGCUUUCUGGUACGAUACUGACGCUGAGGCUCGAAAGCAUGGGGAGCGAACAGGAUUAGAUACCCUGGUAGUCCAUGCCGUAAACGUUGUGCACUAGGUGUGGGAGGUAUCGACCCCUUCCGUGCCGCAGCUAACGCAUUAAGUGCACCGCCUGGGGAGUACGGUCGCAAGACUGAA
rnacentral:rRNA from 1 species